AUUGAACGCUGGCGGCAGGCCUAACACAUGCAAGUCGAACGAGUGGCGGACGGGUGAGUAAUGUCUGGGAAACUGCCCGAUGGAGGGGGAUAACUACUGGAAACGGUAGCUAAUACCGCAUACCAUCGGAUGUGCCCAGAUGGGAUUAGCUAGUCGGUGGGGUAAUGGCUCACCUAGGCGACGCUCCCUAGCUGGUCUGAGAGGAUGACCAGGCAUACUGGAACUGAGAAGCGGUCCAGACGCCGACGGGAGGCAGCAGGGGGGAAUAUGGCACAAUGGGCGUAAGCCUGAUGCAGCCAUGCCGCGUGUAUGAAGAAGGCCUUCGGGUUGUAAAGUACUUUCAGCGGGGAGGCGUGACCCGCAGAAGAAGCACCGGCUAACUCCGUGCCAGCAGCCGCGGUAAUUC
rnacentral:rRNA from 1 species